AACGAGGAGACGGAAAUGAAGGUUUGUGUCUGUAUAAAUAGAGAGGAGAUUAGGGUUUCUGUCUAUUGGGCCUUUGGAGGCCCAACAGGUCAUGCGUUGCAGCCUGCAGCAGGGCUUACAGAGCGGGCCGCCAAGCGGAUUAAGUCCAAUGCCCAAUGGGCCAGUUCCCGUGCCGAUUGCAAAUCUGGGCGGCGCCGCGUCAGCAGCAGGUGGCCGUUUCGCAAACCGACGCGGACGUGGUGUCGCAACGGACAACCAAAUCCGGACCGGCGAUGGCGAUGGCGCCCCAGCGGCAGCGCACGCCGCUGCGGGAACGCCAGUCGCCAGCCAUCCGAAAUCCAAGCGCCGUUCGCCCGCUCCCCGCCACAAGCUCCUCCUUCCCUAGUCCCCUGCUCCCUCCACACUCCAGAGGCAGCACGUGCUGUAGCACCGCUAGGCCGCAGCCGCACCACCAUGGCGGGCGCGCCGCCGCUGAGGUCGGACGUCGAUUUCGCCGACGUAUUCGGUGGCCCGCCACGCCGCUCGUCGGGGAACGAGCACCGCUCGUCGUCCGGGUCCGCGACGAGGGCACGGAGCGGGGGAUCGGACACGCCCGUGUUCGGGGACCGGGGGAGCUCCGACCGAAGGAGGCAUCCCGGGGAGGAGUUCUACAAGGACAUAUUCUCAGGGAGCGAGGCAGCGUCGCCCAGGCGGGGCGGCGCCGGGGAUUGGGGGGAUGUGUUUGGCGGGCCGACUUCGCCUGUCUCCACGGCCCGCCCGCGAUCGAGCUUCUCCAUGCGGGUCAACAGAGGCACGGACGUUUCAGUGCCUAGUUCUCCCUCUCGGCAAAUAUCCAACAGAAACGAUGAUGGAGCAUCUUAUGCUUACAGCGUUCCAACUUCGCCCAAUGCAUCCAUGAAUAAUUACCUUGCCCAAGGGCCAGCCCAACAGCAUUCAAAGAAGAAUCCCUUCUCAUGGCAUCGCCAUCCAUUCCUAUCUAGGUUCCGUUCUCAAAGUGGAGAAAAGAAAAGCACAUCUAAUUAUGUCAGCUCCAUGGACAGUGAAUAUGAAGGGACUCCUGCUAACUUGGAAAGUAUCAUGGCCAAUAACAAGUUCCAUUUUUCCUUCUAUAAGUGGGCAGGCAAAGGAGCCUUGUUAGUGUUGCCAGCUACUUCACAAGAAAAGUCUGAAGACAUUAUUGGACUGAGAAGCUUCCCUCAAGUCGUAGUUCAAGGUAUUGAUCUAAUUGAUUAUGAAGACAACAUGUCAACUGCCACUGGAACAUCCAAAAGUCAGACAGAUUACGAAGAUUCCAAAUCUGGAAAACAUAGCACAAACUCAGUAACCAAGGAUGGAGCUAUUCCUUCACUCCCCGAGGACUACAUGCAAGGAACGAAACAGAGCAAUGAUCAUACAAAGAAUGAUGUUUCAUCAGCUAGCCUGAGUUCUAAAAUUUCUCGAUCACCUUCAGAAAGAAGUCGUAGUAGCAGGGUAAAGGAAAAGAUGAAGGGUUUCAUAAAACUAUUUAGCCCUGAGAGUUCACCAAAGCGCAAACGAGCACCGGAAACACAAGGCCAAACAUCUGUUGGGAAAAAUGGAAGCAAAACUGAACUGCAAGAUAAGUUUAGGUUAUCCAGUUUGGAGGCCAAUGAGGAUGUGGAAACGGCAAAAAUGAACAGCCAGAAUGCUUUUAUCGCUGAAUCUUCUCCAAUGACUGAAGUGCAAGAGAGGAUGGACAAACCAGUUCUGUCAGAAAAUAGUAAAAUGGAUACAGCUAUGGGGAGUAAUGAAGCUGCUUCUAAUGAGUCCAUCCAUGAUGAUACAAAAGACAAAGCGGACAACACAAUGCAGCAUGAGGACAUACACAUUGAAGAUCUUGAUGGAUGUGUGGUUGAGCAUUUCUCUGAAGAUCCUGUUCUUCAUAAUGAUCAGGAAAAGGAGCUAAUAAAGGCAUCAGAAUCUAAAAUCCGCGAAUGGUCAAGAGGAAAAGAAGGAAAUAUUAGGUCAUUGCUUUCAACACUGCAAUAUGUCCUAUGGCCUGAGAGUGGAUGGAAACCAGUUCCUCUUGUUGAUAUAAUUGAAGGAGCAGCAGUCAAGAAGGCUUACCAGAAAGCAUUAUUAUGCCUUCAUCCAGAUAAGUUGCAGCAACGAGGCGCUGCCAUGCAUCAGAAGUAUAUAGCAGAGAAGGUUUUUGAUAUUUUACAGGUACACUAGAUUUAUCACAUGUAUAUUUCUGAUUUACUUAGGAAUUGGACGGUGGAUAAAGCUAAUCUGAGAUAUACGAUAUUUGAUAAUGGAACUGUGGAGGCAUGCGAUCCAAGAUUUAUCUGGAAUCAUGGAAGGAAUUCAAUUCAAUCACUUUUGGAUAGUAUUAGGAGUUUACUUUGUUAUUGCAAUGGCAUAAUGAUAUCUAUCGCACAGACAUAUUGCGUCCCGGUGUCUGCAACAGUUGGUCGAAACAACCUAGAAAAACAUAGCAAAUGGGCAAAGAGAGUACGGUUUAUGAAUUUAGGCACACUGGCAAUGCCUCCCUCCGCCUUUUCUUCAAAAUUUCGACUGUAUGUAGUAUUGCUUAAUCAGUUAUAUUGUAUCCAUCACGAUGGCUCAAAUAUCAUAUGAGAAAUGCUUUGUGUACAA